GGGGGCAUGGCGGAAUUGGUAGACGCUACGGACUUAAAAUCCGUUGAUCUUUUCGAUUGUGAGGGUUCAACCCCCUCUGCCCCCA
rnacentral:tRNA from 1 species